rnacentral:rRNA from 1 species
GAUGAACGCUGGCGGCGUGCCUAAUACAUGCAAGUCGAGCGAAUGGAUUAAGAGCUUGCUCUUAUGAAGUUAGCGGCGGACGGGUGAGUAACACGUGGGUAACCUGCCCAUAAGACUGGGAUAACUCCGGGAAACCGGGGCUAAUACCGGAUAACAUUUUGAACCGCAUGGUUCGAAAUUGAAAGGCGGCUUCGGCUGUCACUUAUGGAUGGACCCGCGUCGCAUUAGCUAGUUGGGGAGGUAACGGCGCACCAAGGCAACGAUGCGUAGCCGACCUGAGAGGGUGAUCGGCCACACUGGGACUGAGACACGGCCCAGACUCCUACGGGAGGCAGCAGUAGGGAAUCUUCCGCAAUGGACGGAAGUCUGACGGAGCGACGCCGCGUGAGUGAUGAAGGCUUUCGGGUCGUAAAACUCAGUUGUUAGGGAAGAACAAGUGCUAGUUGAAUAAGCUGGCACCUUGACGGUACCUAACCAGAAAGCCACGGCUAACUACGUGCCAGCCGCCGCGGUAA